rnacentral:rRNA from 1 species
UGCAUGGUUGUCGUCAGCUCGUGUCGUGAGAUGUUGGGUUAAGUCCCGCAACGAGCGCAACCCUUGUCUUUAGUUGCCAUCAUUAAGUUGGGCACUCUAGAGAGACUGCCAGGGAUAACCUGGAGGAAGGUGGGGAUGACGUCAAAUCAUCAUGCCCCUUAUGCUUAGGGCUACACACGUGCUACAAUGGGUAGUACAGAGGGUUGCCAAGCCGUAAGGUGGAGCUAAUCCCUUAAAGCUACUCUCAGUUCGGAUUGUAGGCUGAAACUCGCCUACAUGAAGCUGGAGUUACUAGUAAUCGCAGAUCAGAAUGCUGCGGUGAAUGCGUUCCCGGGUCUUGUACACACCGCCCGUCACACCACGGGAGUUGGAGACGCCCGAAGCCGAUUAUCUAACCUUUUGGAAGAAGUCGUCGAAGGUGGAAUCAAUAACUGGGGUGAAGUCGUAACAAGGUAGCCGUAUCGGAAGGUGCGGCUGGAUC